AACGAACGCUGGCGGCAUGCCUAACACAUGCAAGUCGAACGAGACCUUCGGGUCUUGUGGCGCUCGUGUGCGUAACACGUGGGAACCUGCCCUUAGGUUCGGUAUAACUCCCCGAAAGGGGUGCUAAUAAAGGAUAAUGUCUUCGGACCAAAGAUUUAUCGCCUUUGGAUGGGCCCGCGUUGGUUUCGCUAGUUGGUAGGGUAAUAGCCUGCCAAGGCCACGAUGCAUAGCUGGUCGGGUAGGAGGAUCAGCCACACUGGAGCUGCGACACGGCCCAGACUGCGACGGGGGGGAGCAGUAGAUAAUAUUGGAGGAGGAGGGAAAGUCUGACACAGCAACGCCGGGUGUGUGAUGAAGGGCUUAGGGUUGUGAAUCUCUUUUACCCGGGACGUGAAUGACGGUACCGGGUGAAUAAGCACCGGCUAACUACGUG
rnacentral:rRNA from 1 species